GACGAACGCUGGCGGCGUGCUUAACACAUGCAAGUCGAACGGUAAGGCCCUUCGGGGUACACGAGUGGCGAACGGGUGAGUAACACGUGGGUGAUCUGUCCUGCACUUCGGGAUAAGCCUGGGAAACUGGGUCUAAUACCGGAUAGGACCCUGGGAUGCAUGUCCUGGGGUGGAAAGCUUUUGCGGUGUGGGAUGGGCGCGCGGCCUAUCAGCUUGUUGGUGGGGUGAUGGCCUACCAAGGCGACGACGGGUAGCCGGCCUGAGAGGGUGACCGGCCACACUGGGACUGAGAUACGGCCCAGACUCCUACGGGAGGCAGCAGUGGGGAAUAUUGCACAAUGGGCGCAAGCCUGAUGCAGCGACGCCGCGUGAGGGAUGACGGCCUUCGGGUUGUAAACCUCUUUCAGCACCGACGAAGCGCAAGUGACGGUAGGUGCAGAAGAAGGACCGGCCAACUACGUGCCAGCCGCCGCAGUAA
rnacentral:rRNA from 1 species